CAGUUAGUUAUACAACAAAAAAAUUGGUGCAAUGAAGUUUGGUUUCUCAACUCUUCAACUGCUUUAUAUACAUUUAUUGAUCUGUUUGUUUCAUUGUACAAGUAUAAAUGAAUAAAUGGCAUUUGUGAGCAAUUUUCUUUUCUUUGGCAGUGAUAUGAAGACACUUCGUGAGGCAUUAGCAAAAUCAGAACCGUACGGCUUCUGUAUUAAUCUCUACUUUGAACUAGCCCUUCCUGAUGGAUAUUCUUACUGUUGACAGCUACAUGGGGUAAAAAAAACACCCUCAUGGAUCAUUUUUAAAAGACUUACUUUGUUCUUUCUCUCUUGUCAUUUCAUCCCAAAAUUUCCACUUUGAGUACCUGAAGAAAUCAGAAAAUACAACUCGGGAAUUUGCAUCUUAGUGAAACAGAGACUCCAAAACUAACACUGACUGAAUCAAAAUGAUGGCAGAGUUCAAACUGGUGGCUAGUUAUUGGAGUCUGUUCAGCAACAACUAACUGAACCUCAAUCCCAGUAAAUGGUUGAAGACAGAAGACUUACAGAUUUUAUAUCCAGCCCAUGAGGAUUUUGACUGAUUCCAUUGAGCAGGCUCAGGUGAAAAACUGAAGGGCCAAGACAAAGUCAGUGACUUGUCCAGGAUCACACAACCAGUCAUUAGCUCCGCUGAGAAGAAAACACACAUCUCUUGAUGCGCAGAUGAGUGUUUCGUUUUUGUUAUUUAGCACUUCGAGUGCUUCCGUGCAACAUACCAUUUGUAUUCUUUGAAACAAACUCUUCAGGUAUUUCCAGGUGUUUUUCACGUUUCUGACCUGAGAGAAAGUAUACCUAAUGGUAUAAGUAGAUUUAAAAUCUAUUUAAAAUUCUCAAAGUUUCUAAUGCUGUUCUUUCUUUAGUAACUACUUCAAAAUGUUAAUUGUCUGUCAGUCCUUUGAUUUGGAGAAUUGCUUAUGGGACCACCUAGAGGUUAUGAUAGGGAGAAGACAUUACACAUGAAAGCCAUCCGACAGUCUGAUAUUACAGAAUGAGCCAACAUUCCACCAGCAUCCGCUCAGAGUGAUAGCCCUGAAUACAAUGGAUAUUUAAUGUGCCUUAAGAAAUUUCACUUGAAAUGUUACUCCGAAUCCAAAUUAUCAUCAAAAUGGAAAAGAUAGAGAUUGCUAUAUUUCCUGUUAGACAUAAAGCCUUAAAUAAACUUUCUGAUUCUUUUAUGCAUGAACCUAAAUUUACUUACAGAGUUAUUAUGUACUUUAUAUACCUAAUUAUCUAUUUAUCUGUAUACACAUUUCUAAUAUAGACUCAGGUUUUAAUGAAGACUGGUUUAAAAUGCUUAAUGAGGCUUUGUCAAGGUUCACAUUGAUAGCCUGUGUUAACAUGACUUUAUCAGUGUUUGUUCAAUCUACUAAGUUUAUUUAUUCAGCAAAUAUUUAUCAAAAAAGAACUCUAUGCAAUUCACUGCAUACACACAGAAAAAUGCUGAGCCAACCACUGAGCACUUAAUAACCACUCUACAUAGCAAAGAUGCCAUGC